AGGACUUCAUGGCCAGCUGACCAGUGGGUUCUACAACUGAGUACAGGAUUGAGGAUUCGACCAAAACUUAAGGAGUCAGGAGAGCAUCAGCAGGAAGAUAUGAAGGAAAUUCAGGCCAUGGGGUUUGCAAUGGAUCUCAAACUUUUAUGUCAGCAUCAUCAGUGUCAUCCUCUGAGGGAGCCGAGCAAAGUUUUGGCCCUUUCUGAAUGCCAGCAAGCAGGAUGUGGUCCUCAUGCAAUUCCUGGGCACUAGUUGGCUUUCUUCCUAGAAGCCUGGAUGGUCAGCCUUCCGUCCUGUUCAUAUGUCCUUGCUUGACACACUCAGGACUCUGUAAAUGGCAGUAACAGCAACCAAAAUGGAUGAGAGGGUAAGAAAGAAGGCCAGCUCCCCACUUCUCUCACUCUCCUGGCAAUAUAUGAAUCAGCAGAAAUAGGUAUCAGAUUCUUUGGCCUCUACCAGGCUGGAAUAGGCAUGAGUUUAUACUUUACUUUAUACUUGCUCUUAGAGUCAUGUGAUGGCUGUUGUUCACGUGGACACUGCCAGUUGAAUGCUGUCUGCUGGAAUCACUACAGUGAAACUGAGGGGAGGCUCACAGCACAGAUUUGUUAUAGGGAAGCUGAAGGUCGGGGCAAUGAUUCCAGUACAGGUCAGGCUCAGCACAGCAGAAGGGGCCGAUACCUCUACCCAGUAGGCCUUGCUGCUGUGUAUGGCCCCUGUAACAUCAUCUUUAGCGUUUCCUUAAAAUGUCUUAAAAUUAUCAGCAUCAAACUGUUUCCUGUGUCUUUUUCUUGCCAUGCAUAUGUGGAAAAUGUGUCCCAUCACUUGGCCUUUCCCUGUUGAGUACGUACUGGAGAAAGAAUCCUGCACAAUGAAAACAGGAAGAAGAGGUUUGCUGGAGGGAGUGCACAUGGAAAGGCCCAGGACUUCCUUCCAAGGAGGCUCAAUAUGAGGACUACUAUGCAGAUGUUUUAGACAUGGAGGACACAUCCAAUGCCCAGAAAGAACCACACUGACUCCAGCUCAGUAGCCAAUUUGCCUAGAGUCCAGGAACCUAGGAGUCCAGGAGCCCCUUGGUCCUUUAAAGGUAUGUUGUUUACUUUU